UGCGUAGGCGGAUUAGUAAGUCAGUGGUGAAAGCCCAUCGCUUAACGGUGGAACUGCCAUUGAUACUGCUAGUCUUGAGUAUGGUUGAGGUGGGCGGAAUGUGUCAUGUAGCGGUGAAAUGCUUAGAUAUGACACAGAACACCAAUUGCGAAGGCAGCUCGCUAAGCCAUAACUGACGCUGAUGCACGAAAGCGUGGGGAGCGAACAGGAUUAGAUACCCUGGUAGUCC
rnacentral:rRNA from 1 species